rnacentral:rRNA from 1 species
AUACGGAGGACGCGAGCGUUAUCCGGAUUCAUUGGGUUUAAAGGGUGCGCAGGCGGCCGUGCAAGUCAGCGGUGAAAGCCCGGGGCUCAACCCCGGAAGUGCCGUUGAUACUGCAUGGCUGGAAUGCGGUCGAGGCGGGCGGAACGUGGCGGGUAGCGGUGAAAUGCGUAGAUAUGCCACAGAACGCCGAUAGCGGAGGCAGCUCGCCAGGCCUGCAUUGACGCUCGGGCACGAAAGCGUGGGGAUCGAACAGGAUUAGAUACCCUGGUAGUCCACGCCGUAAACGAUGGGCGCUCGUCGUCGGCGGCAGACAGUCGGCGGCCAAGCGAAAGCGAUAAGCGCCCCACCUGGGGAGUACGGUCGUAAGGCUGAAACUCAAAUGAAUUGACGGGG